UUCGCAAUGCCCGAAAGGGUGAACGAGCGACGCCGCGUGCGGGACGAAGGCCUUCGGGUCGUAAACCGCUUUUGUAAGGGAAAAACUUAAUGAUGGUACCUUACGAAUAAGAGGUUGCUAACUUCGUGCCAGCAGCCGCGGUAAGACGAAGGUGGCGAGCGUUGCUCGGAGUCACUGGGCAUAAAGCGCACGUAGGCGGCGGCGUAAGUCGGGUGUGAAAUCCCUCGGCCCAACCGAGGAACUGCGCCCGAUACUGCGUUGCUUGAGGAUCAGAGGGGUGCACGGAAUUUCCGGUGGAGCGGUGAAAUGCGUUGAUAUCGGAAGGAACGUCGGCGGCGAAAGCGGUGCACUGGCUGAUUUCUGACGCUGAGGUGCGAAAGCCAGGGGAGCAAACGGGAUUAGAUACCCCGGUAGUCCUAGCCGUAAACGAUGGGCACUAAGUAGAGGGGUUUU
rnacentral:rRNA from 1 species